rnacentral:rRNA from 1 species
CGGCAACAGCUCAAAUUUGAAAUCUGGUCCGUCAGGGCCCGAAUUGUAAUUUGGAGAGGAUGCCUCGGGUGCGGCGCCGGUCCAAGUCCCUUGGAACGGGGCGUCACAGAGGGUGAGAAUCCCGUACGUGGCCGGCAGCCAAUUCCAUGUGAGGCUCCUUCGAC